UACGAAGGGGGCUAGCGUUGUUCGGAAUCACUGGGCGUAAAGCGCACGUAGGCGGCUUGUUAAGUCAGAGGUGAAAUGCCAAGGCUCAACCUUGGAACUGCCUUUGAUACUGGCAAUCUCGAGUCCGGGAGAGGUGAGUGGAACUGCGAGUGUAGAGGUGAAAUUCGUAGAUAUUCGCAAGAACACCAGUGGCGAAGGCGGCUCACUGGCCCGGUACUGACGCUGAGGUGCGAAAGCGUGGGGAGCAAACAGG
rnacentral:rRNA from 1 species